rnacentral:rRNA from 1 species
UACGGGGGGGGCAAGCGUUGUUCGGAAUUACUGGGCGUAAAGGGUUCGUAGGUGGCUCGCUAAGUCAGACGUGAAAUCCCUCAGCUUAACUGGGGAACUGCGUCUGAGACUGGCAAGCUUGAGUGCAGGAGAGGAACGCGGAAUUCCCAGUGUAGAGGUGAAAUUCGUAGAUAUUGGGAAGAACACCGGUGGCGAAGGCGGCGACCUGGUCCGACACUGACGCUGAGGCGCGAAAGCGUGGGGAGCAAACAGG